rnacentral:rRNA from 1 species
AUUGAACGCUGGCGGCAGGCCUAACACAUGCAAGUCGAGCGAGGCGCGGAGGGGUGAGUAAUGCCUGGGAAUUGCCCAGUCGAGGGGGAUCACAGUUGGAAACGACUGCUAAUACCGCAUCCGAUUGGGUUGCAGAGGUGGGUUUAGCUAGUUGGUGGGGUAAUGGCUCACCAAGGCGACGAUCCCUAGCUGGUCAGAGAGGAUGAUCAGCCACACUGGAACUGAGACACGGUCCAGACUCCUACGGGAGGCAGCAGUGGGGAAUAUUGCACAAUGGGGGAAACCCUGAUGCAGCCAUGCCGCGUGUGUGAAGAAGGCCUUCGGGUUGUAAAGCACUUUCAGCGAGGAGGCGUUACUCGCAGAAGAAGCACCGGCUAACUCCGUGCCAGCAGCCGCGGUAAUUC